GAUGAACGCUAGCGGCAGGCCUAAUACAUGCAAGUCGAACGGGAUUGCGGUGUAGCUUGCUACACUGCAUGAGAGUGGCGCACGGGUGCGUAACGCGUGAGCAACCUACCCAUAUCAGGGGGAUAGCCCGGAGAAAUCCGGAUUAACACCGCAUGGGACAGUAUUACCGCAUGGUAUAGCUGUUAAAUAUUUAUAGGAUAUGGAUGGGCUCGCGUGACAUUAGCUAGUUGGUGGGGUAACGGCCCACCAAGGCGACGAUGUCUAGGGGCUCUGAGAGGAGAAUCCCCCACACUGGUACUGAGACACGGACCAGACUCCUACGGGAGGCAGCAGUAAGGAAUAUUGGUCAAUGGGCGGAAGCCUGAACCAGCCAUGCCGCGUGCAGGACGACUGCCCUAUGGGUUGUAAACUGCUUUUGUACGGGAAUAACCCUCUCUACGAGUAGAGAGCUGAACGUACCGUAAGAAUAAGGAUCAGCUAACUCCGUGCCAGCAGCCGCCGUAA
rnacentral:rRNA from 1 species